GUUGACAGUAUCGGGUAUGCUAGAUAUCAUGCGCCCCGUUCACACGAUUCCUCUGUAGUUCAGUCGGUAGAACGGCGGACUGUUAAUCCGUAUGUCACUGGUUUGAGUCCAGUCAGAGGAGCCA
rnacentral:tRNA from 1 species